ACCCGCUGAACUUAAGCAUAUCAAUAAGCGGAGGAAAAGAAACCAACAGGGAUUGCCCUAGUAACGGCGAGUGAAGCGGCAACAGCUCAAAUUUGAAAUCUGGCGUCUUUGGCGUCCGAGUUGUAAUUUGCAGAGGGCGCUUUGGCAUUGGCAGCGGUCCAAGUUCCUUGGAACAGGACGUCACAGAGGGUGAGAAUCCCGUACGUGGUCGCUAGCCUUUACCGUGUAAAGCCCCUUCGACGAGUCGAGUUGUUUGGGAAUGCAGCUCUAAAUGGGAGGUAAAUUUCUUCUAAAGCUAAGUACUGGCCAGAGACCGAUAGCGCACAAGUAGAGUGAUCGAAAGAUGAAAAGCACUUUGGAAAGAGAGUUAAAAAGCACGUGAAAUUGUUGAAAGGGAAGCGCUUGCAGCCAGACUUGCCUGUAGUUGCUCAUCCAGGUUUCUACCUGGUGCACUCUUCUAUAGGCAGGCCAGCAUCAGUUUGGGCGGUUGGAUAAAGGUCUCUGUCAUGUACCUCUCUUCGGGGAGAACUUAUAGGGGAGACGACAUGCAACCAGCCUGGACUGAGGUCCGCGCAUCUGCUAGGAUGCUGGCGUAAUGGCUGUAAGCGGCCCGUCUUGAAACACGGACCAAGGAGUCUAACAUCUAUGCGAGUGUUUGGGUGUCAAGCCCGAGCGCGUGAUGAAAGUGAACGGAGGUGGGAACCUUUCGGGGUGCACCAUCGACCGAUCCUGAUGUCUUCGGAUGGAUUUGAGUAAGAGCAUAGCUGUUGGGACCCGAAAGAUGGUGAACUAUGCUUGAAUAGGGUGAAGCCAGAGGAAACUCUGGUGGAGGCUCGCAGCGGUUCUGACGUGCAAAUCGAUCGUCAAAUUUGGGCAUAGGGGCGAAAGACUAAUCGAACUAUCUAGUAGCUGGUUCCUGCCG
rnacentral:rRNA from 1 species